rnacentral:tRNA from 1 species
UUUUUGUAUGUGAAAGGUUUUGAAAGCCUUUAAAGGAUCAGUUGCUGAUCCACGCUGUG